rnacentral:rRNA from 1 species
GAUGAACGCUGGCGGCGUGCCUAAUACAUGCAAGUCGAGCGAACAGACGAGGAGCUUGCUCCUCUGACGUUAGCGGCGGACGGGUGAGUAACACGUGGAUAACCUACCUAUAAGACUGGGAUAACUUCGGGAAACCGGAGCUCAUACCGGAUAAUAUAUUGAACCGCAUGGUUCAAUAGUGAACGACGGUUUUGCUGUCACUUAUAGAUGGUUCCGCGCCGCAUUAGCUAGUUGGUAAGGUAACGGCUUACCAAGGCAACGAUGCGUAGCCGACCUGAGAGGGUGAUCGGCCACACUGGAACUGAGACACGGUCCAGACUCCUACGGGAGGCAGCAGUAGGGAAUAUUCCGCAAUGGGCGAAAGCCUGACGGAGCAACGCCGCGUGAGUGAUGAAGGUCUUCGGAUCGUAAAACUCUGUUAGUAGGGAAGAACAAAUGUGUAAGUAACUAUGCACGUCUUGACGGUACCUAAUCAGAAAGCCACGGCUAACUACGUG